AUUGAACGCUGGCGGCAUGCUUUACACAUGCAAGUCGAGCGGCAGCGCGGGUUCAGGCAACUGAGCCCUGGCGGCGAGCGGCGAACGGGUGAGUAAUACAUCGGAACGUACCCAGGAGUGGGGGAUAGCCCGGCGAAAGCCGGAUUAAUACCGCAUACGAUCUGUGAUGAAAGGUGGGGACCUAAGGGCAACUGAGGGCCUCACGUCUUUUGGAGCGGCCGAUGUCCGAUUAGCUAGUUGGUGGGGUAAAGGCCUACCAAGGCGACGAUCGGUAGCUGGUCUGAGAGGAUGAUCAGCCACACUGGGACUGAGACACGGCCCAGACUCCUACGGAGGCAGCAGUGGGAAUUUUGGACAAU
rnacentral:rRNA from 1 species